rnacentral:lncRNA from 1 species
UGGGACGUCGUGACGUCAUACGGCCGCGUCGCGUGCUCUCGCGUCUGUGAUCCUGCUGAAGAAAGAUCUUAAACACACAGAUAAACUCCUGCUGAAGCGACUGAGAGACGCACUAUUAUAAAGAUGGUGUUUAUUAAAGAGGAGAGAGAAGACAUGAAGAUUGAAGAAGUAUUCAGAGUCAAACAUGAAGAUACUGAGGACCAAACAAAGAUGGCGUUUGUUAAAGAGGAGAGAGAAGACAUGAAGGUUGAAGAAGUAUUCAGUCUGAAACAAGAAGAGCAAACAGGUUCACAUCAGCGCAUCUCGCCUGCACUACAAGACAGCCGCUGCACGCUGCGAUAUGAGACUUCCGCUCGUGUUAUGGGACUUAUCCGAAACCUAAUCAGGCCACUGUUGCACCAUCACAAAACUGUAUCAUUUGCACAUCUUUUUAAGUCUUUUUAAACCAUUCAACUCA